rnacentral:tRNA from 1 species
GCAUUGGUGGUUCAGUGAUAGAAUUCUUGCCUUCCAUGCGGGAGACUUGGGUUCAAUUCCCGACCAAUACA